rnacentral:tRNA from 1 species
ACAUGUAGCUCAGUGAUAGAGUGUUUUCCUAUCAUGCAUCAGGCUCUGGGUUCAAUCCCCAGUACUGCA